UUUAACUGAGCGUUCAGUUACUUGACGUAGACCCGAAACCGGGCGACCUACCCAUGAGCAGGAUGAAGCGAAAGUAAAAUUUCGUGGAGGUCCGAACCCACGAGCGUUGAAAAGCUCGGGGAUGACUUGUGGGUAGCGGUGAAAUUCCAAUCGAGCCCGGAGAUAGCUGGUUCUCCCCGAAAUAGCUUUAGGGCUAGCCUCAAGGUGAGAGAUACGGAGGUAGAGCACUGAAUGUCCUAGGGGGUAUUGCACCUACCGAAGACUAUCAAACUCCGAAUGCCGUCAUCUUAUACUUGGGAGUCAGACUGUGGGUGAUAAGAUUCAUAGUCGAAAGGGCAACAGCCCAGAUCGUCAGCUAAGGUCCCUAAAUGUAAGUUAAGUGGUAAAGGAUGUGGGAUUGCACAGACAACCAGGAUGUUGGCUUAGAAGCAGCCACUCAUUCAAAGAGUGCGUAAUAGCUCACUGGUCGAGUGAUCCUGCGCCGAAGAUUUCCGGGGCUAAAACUUACUACCGAAGCUACGGCAUCAGUAAUGAUGGGUAGGGGAGCUUCCCAUACGGGUUGAAGCAUGACCGUAAGGACAUGUGGACAGUAUGGGAGUGAGAAUGUUGGCAUGAGUAGCGAGAUGUGGGUGAGAAUCCCACAGGCCGUAAACCCAAGGUUUCCAGGGGAAGGUUCGUCCGCCCUGGGUUAGUCGGGACCUAAGCUGAGGCCGAAAGGCGUAGGU
rnacentral:rRNA from 1 species